AUUUAAAAAGGAUUUGGAGACAUCAGAACACCUACUCUGCCCUCUGAGGGGAGAGUUAGAACUUUUGUGAAGUACAUCCCUUGGCUCUCUGGAGUGGGCACAGCAGAAAUGUGACUGACAUAACAUUAAAAAAAUGAUUCCAAGAGUUGUUUACCAUUUUGGAGAAUCACCUCAUUGGCAGCAGGACCAGCUCGUGUUAUCCGAGUCACCAAUAGCACUGUUUGAUUGCCCCAAGGUUUCAUUGGAGACGGCGGAUGUCAAGCACCUGACCACUUCAUUAUGGCGUCCAGAGCAGGGUGCCUGCACCGGAACCCUCACAGGUGAAAAGACAUGGACGCCCCACUGGCUUUUCAACACUGAAGGAAAGACUCAGCACACCUCACAUGGCCAUGUGACCCUCCACAAGUUAUUGAACGUAAGCCUCAAUUUCCCUACCUGUGUAAUGGAGAUAAAAAUAGCCCUCAUAUUGACUUCCUGUGUGGUUUAUGUCAGAUAAAUACGAUAAAGCAUGUUAAGUGCUUCUCUUGGCAUCCCCAAGCAUAUGAUGCUCAAUAGAUGGGAAUGUGUAUUUAUUACUAUUUGUACAGCACUUUACAAUUUACAAAGCCCUUUUCCAUAUACUGUUUCCUUUGAACAUCAUAUACAUU